UACAGAGGGUGCGAGCGUUGUCCGGAAUCACUGGGCGUAAAGGGCGCGUAGGCGGCCUGAUAAGUAGGGGGUGAAAGCCCAGGGCUCAACCCUGGAAUUGCCUUCGAUACUGUUUGGCUAGAGACCGGAAGAGGUAAGUGGAACUGCGAGUGUAGAGGUGAAAUUCGUAGAUAUUCGCAAGAACACCAGUGGCGAAGGCGGCUUUCUGGUCUGCUCUUGACGCUGAGGCGCGAAAGCUAGGGUAGCAAACGGG
rnacentral:rRNA from 1 species